rnacentral:rRNA from 1 species
UACGCAGGGUGCAAGCGUUGUCCGGAAUUAUUGGGCGUAAAGAGCUCGUAGGCGGUCUGUCGCGUCGGCUGUGAAAACCCGGAGCUCAACUCCGGGCCUGCAGUCGAUACGGGCAGACUGGAGUUCGGCAGGGGAGACUGGAAUUCCUGGUGUAGCGGUGAAAUGCGCAGAUAUCAGGAGGAACACCGGUGGCGAAGGCGGGUCUCUGGGCCGAUACUGACGCUGAGGAGCGAAAGCGUGGGGAGCGAACAGG